GUAGAUAUAGUUUAACAAAAACACUAGAUUGUGAUUCUAGAAACAGAGGUUAAAACCCCCUUAUCCACC
rnacentral:tRNA from 1 species